rnacentral:tRNA from 1 species
GACCCUUUCGUCUAGUGGCCCAGGACAACACUCUCUCUGUGUGGAAACAGAGGUUCAAAUCCUUCUAGGGGUCGCCA